CUGACAUCAUCAGAAGUGGUAGCCUGAUCCAAUCACAGUGCUUCCCCAUAGGAUUGCCUGAGACUAACAAAGAGGCAGAUCAGGGACAGAGCCAGCAUGAUUCAAACACAGCCCUGGCCAAUCAGUAUCUCCUCAUAGAGAUGACAUAAAUCAAUGAAUCUCUAUAAGGAACGUUCAGUGUCUGCAUGCAGAAGGAGGAGACACAGUGCUGCCCUGUGCUCUGCUGACAGCAAAUCUGAGUGGAUUGAGGAGUUUUAUGCCUCAAUCAACUGGGAAGUCCCUCUGGUGGCAUUCUGAGUGACUGCAACUGGAGG